UAAUAGUCCAUAAAACAACCAAUAAAAUCAUAUUCUCACAUCUAAAUGUUCGUAACAAUACUAAACAAGUAAAAGGUAUCUUUUUCACUUUAUACCCUGCACUAAGGAGAGUGAUUGUCAAAUAGAUUCCACUGAAUCAGUUGCUCAGGUAUUCAAAAGUAGAAGCUUGUUAACAUAAGAUUUCUAACAUUGGUAACUAUAUCAACCAAUCUAAUACAAACAUAGGAGAAGCACAUGACAAAAACCACAGUUGAGAGAAUUACAUGAAGAGUAUGUAGACUGUUGUGAAAGUAUUAUCGAGAAACUCUUUGUGAUCGAUGAGAGAAGAAUCCAGUCUCUGUCUUCUUAUACGAACUAGAUCUGCAACGAUAAGAAGAAAAAAAACGUUGUUAGAUGAAUAUACAAGUCUUUGAUCUCUUAACUGUACUCAAAAUUAAUUUCACGAUAACUGAAAUUGGAACCCUAAUUCAAAGAAUCAGAAACACAAAUCUUCAAUUAAUUUGAAGUGAAAUCGAGUAAAUCGAAAUAAAAAACGAUCGAAAGAUUUUAAAAGAAAACCGAUUUUUGAGAAUUUGGAAGCCAGAGUUAAUUCGAUGAAGAGCAUUAUAUAAAUCUUUGUUUAAUUUUACCCAAAUCGAAGAGAGAACGAGAGAAAGAACUUAAAAGCGAUUUUGAAAUUUUGAAACUCUCGAUUACAGAAAUUACUGAAUGAAGAUAAUGAUUAAUCAUCGAUUUCAGAAAGCAAAAUUAUAUAUACGAAAACAGGAUUAACCCAGAUGAAACUGAAGAAUUCGAACGAAAAUUUACAGAGCAAAUUUCAAAAUCGCCGAUGAAAG
rnacentral:lncRNA from 1 species